rnacentral:rRNA from 1 species
UACGGAGGAUCCAAGCGUUAUCCGGAUUUAUUGGGUUUAAAGGGUGCGUAGGCGGAUUGAUAAGUUAGAGGUGAAAUGUCCGAGCUCAACUCGGGAACUGCCUCUAAUACUGUUGAUCUAGAGAGUAGAUGCGGUAGGCGGAAUGUAUGGUGUAGCGGUGAAAUGCUUAGAGAUCAUACAGAACACCGAUUGCGAAGGCAGCUUACCAAUCUAUAUCUGACGUUGAGGCACGAAAGCGUGGGGAGCAAACGGG